UUAAGCGACUAAGCGUACACGGUGGAUGCCCUGGCAGUCAGAGGCGAUGAAGGACGUGCUAAUCUGCGAAAAGCGUCGGUAAGGUGAUAUGAACCGUUACAGCCGGCGAUGUCCGAAUGGGGAAACCCAGUGCAAUUCGUUGCACUAUCGUUAACUGAAUACAUAGGUUAACGAGGCGAACCGGGGGAACUGAAACAUCUAAGUACCCCGAGGAAAAGAAAUCAACCGAGAUUCCCCCAGUAGCGGCGAGCGAACGGGGAGCAGCCCAGAGUCUGAAUCAGCUUGUGUGUUAGUGGAACGGUCUGGAAAGUCCGACGGUACAGGGUGAUAGUCCCGUACACCAAAAUGCACAGGCUGUGAACUCGAAGAGUAGGGCGGGACACGUGGUAUCCUGUCUGAAUAUGGGGGGACCAUCCUCCAAGGCUAAAUACUCCUGACUGACCGAUAGUGAACCAGUACCGUGAGGGAAAGGCGAAAAGAACCCCGGCGAGGGGAGUGAAAAAGAACCUGAAACCGUGUACGUACAAGCAGUGGGAGCACCUUCGGGUGUGACUGCGUACCUUUGUAUAAUGGGUCAGCGACUUAUAUUCUGUAGCAAGGUUAACCGUAUAGGGGAGCCGCAGGAAACCGAGUCUUAACUGGGCGUUAAGUUGCAGGGUAUAGACCCGAAACCCGGUGAUCUAGCCAUGGGCAGGUUGAAGGUUGGGUAACACUAACUGGAGGACCGAACCGACUAAUGUUGAAAAAUUAGCGGAUGACUUGUGGCUGGGGGUGAAAGGCCAAUCAAACCGGGAGAUAGCUGGUUCUCCCCGAAAGCUAUUUAGGUAGCGCCUCGUGAAUUCAUCUUCGGGGGUAGAGCACUGUUUCGGCUAGGGGGUCAUCCCGACUUACCAACCCGAUGCAAACUACGAAUACCGAAGAAUGUUAUCACGGGAGACACACGGCGGGUGCUAACGUCCGUCGUGAAGAGGGAAACAACCCAGACCGCCAGCUAAGGUCCCAAAGUCAUGGUUAAGUGGGAAACGAUGUGGGAAGGCACAGACAGCCAGGAUGUUGGCUUAGAAGCAGCCAUCAUUUAAAGAAAGCGUAAUAGCUCACUGGUCGAGUCGGCCUGCGCGGAAGAUGUAACGGGGCUAAACCAUGCACCGAAGCUGCGGCAGCGACACUAUGUGUUGUUGGGUAGGGGAGCGUUCUGUAAGCCUGCGAAGGUGUGCUGUGAGGCAUGCUGGAGGUAUCAGAAGUGCGAAUGCUGACAUAAGUAACGAUAAAGCGGGUGAAAAGCCCGCUCGCCGGAAGACCAAGGGUUCCUGUCCAACGUUAAUCGGGGCAGGGUGAGUCGACCCCUAAGGCGAGGCCGAAAGGCGUAGUCGAUGGGAAACAGGUUAAUAUUCCUGUACUUGGUGUUACUGCGAAGGGGGGACGGAGAAGGCUAUGUUAGCCGGGCGACGGUUGUCCCGGUUUAAGCAUGUAGGCUGGUUAUCCAGGCAAAUCCGGAUAAUCAAGGCUGAGGUGUGAUGACGAGGCACUACGGUGCUGAAGUAACAAAUGCCCUGCUUCCAGGAAAAGCCUCUAAGCAUCAGGUAACAUCAAAUCGUACCCCAAACCGACACAGGUGGUCAGGUAGAGAAUACCAAGGCGCUUGAGAGAACUCGGGUGAAGGAACUAGGCAAAAUGGUGCCGUAACUUCGGGAGAAGGCACGCUGGUGUGUAGGUGAAGUCCCUGCGGAUGGAGCUGAGACCAGUCGAAGAUACCAGCUGGCUGCAACUGUUUAUUAAAAACACAGCACUGUGCAAACACGAAAGUGGACGUAUACGGUGUGACGCCUGCCCGGUGCCGGAAGGUUAAUUGAUGGGGUUAUCCGUAAGGAGAAGCUCUUGAUCGAAGCCCGGUAAACGGCGGCCGUAACUAUAACGGUCCUAAGGUAGCGAAAUUCCUUGUCGGGUAAGUUCCGACCUGCACGAAUGGCGUAAUGAUGGCCAGGCUGUCUCCACCCGAGACUCAGUGAAAUUGAACUCGCUGUGAAGAUGCAGUGUACCCGCGGCAAGACGGAAAGACCCCGUGAACCUUUACUAUAGCUUGACACUGAACAUUGAGCCUUGAUGUGUAGGAUAGGUGGGAGGCUUUGAAGCGUGGACGCCAGUCUGCGUGGAGCCAACCUUGAAAUACCACCCUUUAAUGUUUGAUGUUCUAACGUUGGCCCCUUACCGGGGUUGCGGACAGUGUCUGGUGGGUAGUUUGACUGGGGCGGUCUCCUCCCAAAGCGUAACGGAGGAGCACGAAGGUUAGCUAAUCCUGGUCGGACAUCAGGAGGUUAGUGCAAUGGCAUAAGCUAGCUUGACUGCGAGCGUGACGGCGCGAGCAGGUGCGAAAGCAGGUCAUAGUGAUCCGGUGGUUCUGAAUGGAAGGGCCAUCGCUCAACGGAUAAAAGGUACUCCGGGGAUAACAGGCUGAUACCGCCCAAGAGUUCAUAUCGACGGCGGUGUUUGGCACCUCGAUGUCGGCUCAUCACAUCCUGGGGCUGAAGUAGGUCCCAAGGGUAUGGCUGUUCGCCAUUUAAAGUGGUACGCGAGCUGGGUUUAGAACGUCGUGAGACAGUUCGGUCCCUAUCUGCCGUGGGCGCUGGAGAAUUGAGGGGGGCUGCUCCUAGUACGAGAGGACCGGAGUGGACGCAUCACUGGUGUUCGGGUUGUCAUGCCAAUGGCACUGCCCGGUAGCUAAAUGCGGAAGAGAUAAGUGCUGAAAGCAUCUAAGCACGAAACUUGCCCCGAGAUGAGUUCUCCCUGAGACUUUAAGUCUCCUGAAGGAACGUUGAAGACGACGACGUUGAUAGGCCGGGUGUGUAAGCGCAGCGAUGCGUUGAGCUAACCGGUACUAAUGAACCGUGAGGCUUAACCU
rnacentral:rRNA from 1 species